UACGGGGGAGCAAGCGUUGUUCGGAUUUACUGGGCGUAAAGGGCGCGUAGGCGGUCAGCACAAGUCAGUUGUGAAAUCUCCGGGCUUAACUCGGAAAGGUCAACUGAUACUGUGCGACUAGAGUGCAGAAGGGGCAACUGGAAUUCUCGGUGUAGCGGAUGAAAUGCGUAGAGUAUCAGGAGGAACACCUGCGGUGUAGACGGCUUACUGGACCAUAACUGACGCUGAGGCACGAAAGCGUGGGUAGCAAACAGG
rnacentral:rRNA from 1 species